UACGAAGGGGACUAGCGUUGUUCGGAAUCACUGGGCGUAAAGGGCACGUAGGCGGGUUCGUAAGUCAGGGGUGAAAUCCCGGGGCUCAACCUCGGAACUGCCUUUGAUACUGCGGGUCUUGAGUCCGAUAGAGGUGGGUGGAAUUCCUAGUGUAGAGGUGAAAUUCGUAGAUAUUAGGCAGAACACCGGUGGCGAAGGCGGCCCACUGGAUCGGUACUGACGCUGAGGUGCGAAAGCGUGGGGAGCAAACGGG
rnacentral:rRNA from 1 species